AUACCAAUCUAGCCUGGCUAGGUGUUGGGCUUCGCCGUCUGGCGGGCCUUAAAACUUAGUGGCGGUGCUCUUAAGCUCUACGCGUAGUAAUUUUCUCGCUAUAGGGUCUUGGGAGAUGCUUGCCAGCAACCCCAAAAUUUUCUA
rnacentral:misc_RNA from 1 species